rnacentral:rRNA from 1 species
ACAAACGCUGGCGGCGUGCCUAACACAUGCAAGUCGAACGUGAAAGUUGGCUUCGGCCGAUGAGUAAAGUGGCGCACGGGUGAGUAACGCGUGGAUAAUCUGCCCUUCAGUUGGGAAUAACUCAUCGAAAGGUGAGCUAAUACCGAAUAAUACUGCUUGACCAUGGUCAGGUAGUCAAAGAUAGCCUCUGCUUGCAAGCUUUCGCUGAAAGAUGAGUCCGCGUACCAUUAGCUAGUUGGUGGGGUAAUGGCCUACCAAGGCGACGAUGGUUAGCUGGUCUGAGAGGAUGAUCAGCCACACUGGAACUGAGACACGGUCCAGACUCCUACGGGAGGCAGCAGUGAGGAAUCUUGCGCAAUGGGGGAAACCCUGACGCAGCAACGCCGCGUGAGUGGGGAAGGUCUUCGGAUCGUAAAGCUCUGUCGGGUGGAAAGAAAUGUAUGGGGUUAAUAGCCUUCAUACUUGACGGUACCACCAAAGGAAGCACCGGCUAACUCCGUGCCAGCAGCCGCGGUAAUACGGGGGGUGCAAGCGUUGUUCGGAAUUAUUGGGCGUAAAGAGCGUGUAGGCGGCUUGGUAAGUCAGAUGUGAAAGCCCUGGGCUUAACCCAGGAAGUGCAUUUGAAACUGCCAGGCUUGAGUAGGGGAGAGGGAAGUGGAAUUCCUGGUGUAGAGGUGAAAUUCGUAGAUAUCAGGAGGAACACCGGUGGCGAAGGCGACUUCCUGGCCCUAUACUGACGCUGAGACGCGAGAGCGUGGGUAGCAAACAGGAUUAGAUACCCUGGUAGUCCACGCCGUAAACGAUGUUCACUAGGUGUUGGGGGUAUUGACCCUCUCAGUGCCGGAGCUAACGCAUUAAGUGAACCGCCUGGGGAGUACGGUCGCAAGACUA